AACAAACGCUGGCGGCGUGCCUAAUACAUGCAAGUCGAACGGGGAAAGCUUUCGGGUGAGUACUAGUGGCGCACGGGUGAGUAACGCGUGGAUAAUCUGCCUUAGAGUGGGGGAUAACUAGUCGAAAGAUUAGCUAAUACCGCAUAAGACCACAAGAACUGCGGUUCAAGGGGUCAAAGGUUUUUCGCUCUAAGAUGAGUCCGCGUAAGAUUAGCUAGUUGGUAGGGUAACGGCCUACCAAGGCGACGAUCUUAAACUGGUCUGAGAGGAUGAUAAGUCACACUGGAACUGGGACACGGUCCAGACUCGUACGGGAGGCAGCAAUAGGGAAUAUUGCACAAUGGAGGAAACUCUGAUGCAGCGACGCCGCGUGAGUGAUGAAGGCCUUCGGGUCGUAAAGCUCUGUCGCAGGGGAAUAACACAAUGAAGGUACCCUGUAAGAAAGGAUCGGCUAACUUCGUGCCAGCAGCCGCCGUAAUAC
rnacentral:rRNA from 1 species